AUUGAACGCUCGCGGGAUGCUUUACACAUGCAAGUCGAACGGCAGCGCGGACUUCGGUCUGGCGGCGAGUGGCGAACGGGUGAGUAAUGUAUCGGAACGUGCCCAGUAGCGGGGGAUAACUACGCGAAAGCGUAGCUAAUACCGCAUACGCCCUACGGGGGAAAGCAGGGGAUCGUAAGACCUUGCACUAUUGGAGCGGCCGAUAUCGGAUUAGCUAGUUGGUGAGGUAACGGCUCACCAAGGCGACGAUCCGUAGCUGGUUUGAGAGGACGACCAGCCACACUGGGACUGAGACACGGCCCAGACUCCUACGGGAGGCAGCAGUGGGGAAUUUUGGACGAUGGGGGCAACCCUGAUCCAGCCAUACCGCGUGUGCGAUGAAGGCCUUCGGGUUGUAAAGCACUUUUGGCAGGAAAGAAACGUCGCGGGCUAAUACCCCGUGGAACUGACGGUACCUGCAGAAUAAGCACCGGCUAACUACGUG
rnacentral:rRNA from 1 species